GACGGAGGGUGCUAGCGUUGUUCGGAAUUACUGGGCGUAAAGGGCGCGUAGGCGGCUACGGCAGUCGGGUGUGAAAGCCCGGGGCUCAACCCCGGAACGGCAUCCGAUACUCUGUGGCUAGAGACCGGAAGAGGUGGGUGGAAUACCCAGUGUAGAGGUGAAAUUCGUAGAUAUUGGGUGGAACACCGGUGGCGAAAGCGGCUCACUGGUCCGGGUCUGACGCUGAGGCGCGAAAGCGUGGGGAGCAAACAGGAUUAGAAACCCCCGUAGUCC
rnacentral:rRNA from 1 species